rnacentral:piRNA from 1 species
UCAACAGCCAUUGGUAUGAUUAUCUCACGC